rnacentral:tRNA from 1 species
GGGCAAGUGGUGGAAUGGCAUACACGCAGGACUUAAAAUCCUGUGGCCGAAAGGCCGUGUGGGUUCGACUCCCACCUUGCCCA